rnacentral:tRNA from 1 species
GCGUCGGUGGUCUAAUGGCUAUGACUGUGCCCUUCCAAGGCACCUGUCCGGGUUCAAAUACUUGGGGACGAAGCCAACAAGGAUUUCAGCCUCAAGCUGAAUUUCCCGGCCGACGCA